CUUAUCAAGAGUGGUGGAGGGAUCGGCCCAAUGAAACCCGGCAACCUGCAAAAAGAAGACGUUGCAAGGUGCCAAAUCCGGCGGUAGUAUCGUAAAGAUGAG
rnacentral:ncRNA from 1 species